AAUUAUUUGUUUUGGGUAUUAUUUUCUAAACCCAAUUUGUAAGUUAAAAUGUGCUAACCCAAUGUGUUGCCAAACUUUAAGCUCAAAAUAUUAAAAAAAGGCCUAUAAAAACUCUAAACCCUAACCUAUUAUUUCUCUCCCAUAUAAGGUUCCGGAACCAAACCUCUUCCCGAAGUACCUACAUCCAUCUCCAUAGCACUGUCUACUUAUGCGCCAGCUUUCUUUUCCAAAUCUACUCUCAUAUAACAUGUAACAUAAUCCAUAAACAUUUAUUUCGGGUAGAUUACUUGGGUAAUUUGUGAUGGAAAAGAAUCCAACACACACUAAAUAAAUCCACCCACGCAUUACCUUUACUAAUCAAGUUGUCAACAUGUAGUUACAAGCAAACAACACUGAUCUUUGAACAACAUCAUACAAUUUAACUUUUCUAAGUCAUUUGUACGAUUUUUGUGUGAUUUUUGUGUUGUGAGGUUGUUAGUUUGGACUUUGAAAGACUUGAUUGAUGAUUUUAGUUCAACUUUAAAUGUUUAUUUUCAUUGUCUUUGAUUCUAGUUAGAGUGUUUAUGUUAUGAUUGUGUUGGAUAUGUUAAAAUUUAAAAUUUCAAUGUUUUUCAUUUUUUGAAAAAAAAUAAAAACAAAAAACCGAAACCGAACCGAAACCGAACCGGAAAAAACCGAACCGAAAAAAAACCGAACCGAAAAAAACCGAAAAAAAAUUGAACCGAACCGAAAUUUCGGUUUGGUUUCGGUUUUGGCAAAAAACCGAACCGA
rnacentral:lncRNA from 1 species